rnacentral:misc_RNA from 1 species
UGUGCCCAUCUGGGGCGU